rnacentral:rRNA from 1 species
GAGUUUGAUCUUGGCUCAGGAUGAACGCUGGCGGCGUGCCUAACACAUGCAAGUCGAGCGAGAGAUUCCGGACGGAAGCUUCGGCCAAAGACCGGAAUGGAAAGCGGCGGACGGGUGAGUAACGCGUAGGUAACCUGCCCCAUACAGAGGGAUAGCCACUGGAAACGGUGAUUAAUACCUCAUAAAACGUUUUCUUCGCAUGAAGAGAAGGUCAAAGAUUUAUCGGUAUGGGAUGGACCUGCGUCUGAUUAGCUGGUUGGUGGGGUAACGGCCUACCAAGGCGACGAUCAGUAGCCGACCUG